rnacentral:rRNA from 1 species
AUACGGAGGGUGCAAGCGUUAUCCGGAUUCACUGGGUUUAAAGGGUGCGUAGGCUUCCCAUCAUGUUUCUAGUGAAAGCCUCGGGCUUAACCCGAGAAUUGCUGGAAAAACUGUUGGGAUUGAGUACAUUUGAGGUGGGCGGAAUGUGUCAUGUAGCGGUGAAAUGCGUAGAUAUGACACAGAACACCAAUUGCGAAGGCAGCUCACUAAACUGUAACUGACGCUGAGGCACGAAAGCGUGGGUAGCGAACAGGAUUAGAUACCCGGGUAGUCC